GUUCAGGGGAGCUUGGCAGGUGCUAAGCUGGGCACCCUGCAGGAAAGGAAAGAGAAAGAGCUGACUUGAGCGCUCUGAGUAGGGCUCUUCCCGGUGGCUCAGUGGUACAGAAUCUGCCUGCCAGUGCGGGGGACUCGAGAGAUGCAGCCUUGAUCCCUGGCUCAGGAAGAUCCCCUGGAGAAGGAUAAUGGCAAAGAAGAGCCUCAUGGUUCUCAGAGCUGCUUCAGGGGCAGACCUGAGGGUCCCUAGUGCACCCGCUCUCCACUUCGUACCUGUGUCUUGCUCUUUGCACGCUCCAGCCUAUUUCGUUGCAAACUGGUUUCUUCACAUGGAGGAAAACAGAGCAACUGAGAGCUCCCAAGUCUGACAUGUUACAGCAACAACUUUGAUCUGUUGUUUCCGAAUCCAGAAAUUCCAGAGAAGAGAUGCACCGGUGCUUGACUAGUAGGUGGCGCCUGAGGGAAGAGAAGCGUUUGGUGAGACACGGUCGCUUCUGCAGGGCCUGCGGACGGGGCCCCGGUCUUCAGAGGAGGCUGAUAUUAAGGGGAAACAGGAGUGCUGAUGCCUCUUGGGCAGGGCAGGGUUUGCCACGUGGGCUCAGGCCUCUCUGCUGCAGUAGUUUCUUGGUAGAAAUGCACUGGCUUUAGAAAUGGAACUGGGGGAAUUCUCUGGUGGCCCAGUGACUAAGACUCAGCGUUCCUAACGCAGAGGGCCCAAGUCCAACCCCUGGUCAAGGAGGUGGAUCUGCAUGCCGCAACUAAAGAUCCCACGUGCUGAAAUGAAGACUGAAGGUCUCGUAUGCUGCAACUGAGAUCUGGUGGCGCCAAAUAAAUACAUAGUUUGAAAAGACAAAAAAGAAAUGGAACUGGGGUGGGCUGACGAAGAGAAUUAAUGGGACCUCGGGGUUGAAGUGGGGGUGAGAGGUGACCCAGGUUGGCUGGUGUCCCGGAUGCUGUGUGGCUGUGGAACCAGAAACUUGUCCUCUCUGAGCCUGACCCCCAUCUCUAUCAUGCCUGAGAUGUGACCUUCCCUGGCCUCACCAACCUGUGGCUGCAAACAAAAUCACACUGGCCUGAAUGUCGCACUCUCCUGCCUCACAGUUCCCCAUCUCUGGGACCCAGACUUCUGUCUCCUCAGGGUCCCUAGUAGAUCUCGCACGUGUCCAGUCUGUUGUUUCAUGACUGGUUCUGGCCUUCCAGCCACAGGAGGGCUAUGGAGCCCCUGAAAGAGCCUCUGUUCUCUGCCUAAUGCUGUCUCAGGGCCUUCAAGCUUGCAAGCUGACUGGCUACCAGGUGGCACCAUACUUCUGUCAGUCCUCACAGAACUGGAUCCACAGGGAUUUCCAUGAAGUGAGGAGAAGGUUCCUCUCCCCAAAUCCAGACCGUGCACAUCACUGCUGGGCCCCAGAGCAGUGUGGCCUGUGAGCUUUCUCUCACGCAAUCCCUUGGGAAAGAAAGCCCCACAGCCAGCCUCUCUCCCUCUCUCCCUGAGAUUCUGACCCAGUACCAGGAGCUGGGCCGGGGGAAGGUCAUCGUGCUCUGGCCCCCUUCGUCCAGGAGCCUGCUUCACAUGUAUGCCCCCAUUUUGACCCACCUCUUGUGAAGGGGUGCUGGGGAGAGGGGGCGCUGCCCAUCCAAUGUGUCCUGACUUAGCCUCCCCUGGAAGCCCUUCUUCAGCAGAAUAGCAGUGCCCUUGGAGGGCUCAUUGUGUUGAGUGCAUGCUCGGUCAUGCCCAACUCUGCGCACACCCCCGCCCCUCCGCCCCCAUGGACUGCAGUUCACGAGGCUCCUCUGUCCGUGGAAUUUUCCAGGCAAGAACACUGGAGUGGGUUGCCAUUGCCCACUCCAGGGCAUCUUCCUGACCCAGGGAUCAAAUCUGCAUCUCGGUUGUCUCCUGCAUUGGCAGGCGGGUUCUUUACCGAUUGUGUCCGUUAAAGGAGACACAUGAUAGGUGCUCCACAAAUUACUUCCUGUUAUUUAAUCCAGCAGUUCACUGGUCUCCUUUCGGGAGGCAGUGGGUGAUAGCACCUCUCAUUUGUGCAGCUGCUGGGGAGCCAGGGCAGUGGCCCCAGGGAGGGACAGGAAGGUCUGGCCGCCCGGUCAGAAGAAGUCAGCGUGCCUCCAGGCUUGAAGCUGUUCUGUGGUCUUUUGGGGUGAGCUUCCUGGGCCCCAGUGUGGUGGAAUCAAAGGUCCUGGCUGGUUGUUAGGUGUGUCAGAGUUUGAGGUGACGUGGGCUGAGACUUCAGACUUAGGAGGAGAGCGAAGGAACAUAAUUUUGAUUGUCCUAAAAGCCCUUGUUUCACCUGGACGAGUGUGUGGGUCUACCCGGCCAAAAAUGAAAGCCCGGUCAGAAAUCCCCUUUGCGGCGGUCCAGCAGCUGGCCACUCAGUCUCUGCUAGGACGUUUCAGAAAGCAGAUUCAUCAAACAGGAAAAAUGUGUGUACUAGAUUCAAAGACAUCCCAUGUAUUGGAGAGAUCAUCUAACAAGGAGGUGUUAGAUGAACACCAGGUGUUCCCUGGUGGUGCCGUGGAUGGGAAUCCACCUGCUGAUGCAGGGGACAAGGGUUUAAUCCCCGGUCCGGGAAGAUUCCACAUGCUGUGGAGCAACUGGGCCUGUGCGCCACAACUACUGAGCCUGGGCUCUGCAACAAGAGAAACCACUGAAGGACAAGCCCGCGUGCUGAAGGGAAGAGUAGCCCCUACUCCCUGCAACAAGAUAAAGCCUGCUCGCAGCAGUGAAGACCCAGCACGGCCAAAAAUAAAUCAAUCAAUCUAACAGGGGGAGCGGGUAAAAUA